AGAAAACCAUGAUUUGCUCUUACAGCCAGGGAGGGCAAACAAACAUAUAAGCCAACUAUCUUAUUCUCUUUUGCUAAAAGCAUAUGAUCAAUUGCAAGCAAGCAUGAUCUAAAAAGGGUCCUAGUUAAAAACAAUAAUUAAUGCUAGAAAGGAAGGGUACAAAAUUAAAAGAGUUGUUUGAGAUGUGUUUCAUUUGUGUGUGUGUGUGAAGAAUAUUUCAGGUGCAUGCGCAAAGACACAAGAGGUUGAUUUUUAUUGAGUACAAACUAAGCAUGACAAACCCUAAAGUAAGUGUUGCUCCCCCUUGACAUCAUUCCACUCACCUUCUUCACCUUAAUUCUCAUCCCGAGGCAAAACCUACCAGUAUAUACAUUCAUUCUCUGCUCCUCAAACAUCCUCACUUCACCUCUCAUCUUCUAAACCCUUUCAAAAACCUCCCUCUGUUCAUGAAGCUUCAGUGUUUGUAUUAAUUCCUAUGAGAAGAUUUUAUUUUUCUUACACUUAUUGAUCCUGCAUCAUUUCAUAAAUAAUAACCAUUCCUUCUUAUGUUGCUAUAUAUAUAUGGUCUAUUAAUUGAGGCUUGCAUGAGAAGCAAUAGUGUUGUAGGGUGGAUUAGAACCAAUAUCAAUAAUGUUCAAGCUUUAUGUAUUGUAGGGAUAUAAGGACAAAUUAGCAAAGGCAAUAAAACACCCCAUGCCUCUGUCUUUUGUCUAUUUUCCAGUUUUUGGUAGAGUAUGUGGAGAACCCACUUCUAUUUGCUUGGAAUAUAAAUCUAUUUAAGGGUUUUGUGCUUUCCACUUUAUGAGUUUUCAUAUAGGCAUGCUGCUAGUGCAUAUAUGGUUGCACCAGAAUUAGUGCAUUGGUAUUUGAUAGUGACUCCUCCUAUCCCAUCAAUUGGAGAGUUUAAAUUAGUGAUAUUGUUCCUCAUAUCAUAUCAUCACCCUCUUCCUGAUCCAGCUCCACCACCAUGGUUUGUAUUUUCAUAUAAUUCAUGCUUUACUUGCAAAAUGGACACUCAAUAAUUGUGAUUAGGUGCACAAUGGGACCAUUUGGGAUAUUGUUUAAUGUUGAAAGUUGAAACUACUUUUUCUUCCUUUUUGGUAGAUAGUCUAUUGGUGAGGUAGCCAUGAAAACCACUUGAAAUUUUCUUCCAACUCUCAACCCUACAUAACAUGGAUCUUUGUCAGGUCAUAUCCAUGGUGGAAUAUAUAUUGAUUGAUCUGAUCAUCAGCUUUCGUUCUGUACUAUGCUAAGAGAGAAUAUUGAUGAUGAUGAUAAUGUUUGGGAUUUGGGAAGCAGAGAAAGCGAUGUUGGUGAGGUUCAAUCUGAAGACGGAUUUACAUGAAGAAGCAGUAAAAUACGAUCUCAGAUUGAGCCGCGCCAAUAUCACUUUUCUUAUUCAUGAGCUCUGCCUCUGUUGCUAGCUUUCCAACUCAUAUCCCAACUCAUUAGAUUCUUCUCUUGUCAGAAUAAUAUUCCCAAUAUUGAAUGGUGGAUCUUAUUAUAUCAUAACAAAUUAACAUUUCCCUCUUGGUUGGGGCAAUCUUUGAAUUCAUGAAACUAUAUGGUGCUAUGGAAGCUCAAGACAAAUGCAGUAGGAAUGUGAUUGACACAUAAAUAUUCUCAUGGUACAAAGGUGAUAUGACAGGAAGUAUGGGACAAAAGUUAAAUGAGAGAAGAGGCUGUGAUCAGCACUGUAGCCAUGCAUAUGUAUACCAAGUCCAGAUUCAUCAUAAAAAAAACUCUUUCCUUCUUUAUAUUCAUUUUGGGCACUACUCUCUAUGAAGGUCUUCUUAAACAUGUUGCUGUGUUUGAAGGCAAAAAAAAAGCUCGUCUUCUCACCUAAAUCAAUGCAAUAUUCUUCUCUGAUCUCUGGUAUGUUAUCAUGUCACCUAAAUCAAUGCAACUUUAGUUUGUCAAUGAUCAGCACCUAUGUUAGCAUGUCUACCAGGUUCUUGCUUCCCACAAUCUUCUUCAAUGUUAGCACCUCUCCGUAAAGCAAAGAUUUUAUGAAGUGGUAACUUAUAUCAAUGUCUUUUGUCCUAGAGUAGAAUGUUGAAUUCUUUACAAAAUGUACUAAACUUUCACUAUUACUUCGCAAAACACUUCAUCCCUAGUUGAUUCACAACUCUAUAUAUCAACAAUCCUUGAAGUUAUAUCAACUCUUUACUAGCUUAUGUUACUGCUGCAUACUCAACCUUUAUAGAGGAUAAAAGCAAUCUUUUGUAUUCGCAACAUCCAACUGACAGGUGUAGUACCAAUAGUGAAAAUGUAACCGGUGGUGCUUCUUCAAUGAUCGACUUCACCUCCAAAGUCUUCGUCUACGUAGCCUUGUAAACACUUCUUUGCAGUGCCUAGUAUCCUUAAAGUCCACUUGACUGUUUCCCAAAGAGCAUCGAUUGGAUUUGCCAAAACCUGCUUACAACUCCACCGUAUGACCAAUGUUUGGUCUAGUACAAAACAUUGCAUACAUAAAACUUUCGGUGACUGAAGCAUACAUAAUCUUAGCCAUGUAGUCUCUUUCUUCCUCCGUCUAAGGGGACUGGUCCUUGAAUAGGUGAAAAUGACUGGUCAAAGGUGUGUUAGCUGGCUUGGCCUUACCCAUGUUGAAUCUUUUCAAAACACAAUUGAUGUAUUUCGCCAGGCAUAACUGCAAAGUUCCUCUUUGCUUAUCUCUCGUGAUUUACAUUCCAAGAAUCUUCUUUGCUGGAUUCAAGUCUUUCAUGUCAAAUUAUUUUGACAUCGACAUCUUCAAUUAUUUUUUAUCACGUUCAUAUCUAAAGAUGCUACUAACGUAUCAUCAACAUAAAAAAGCAAAAUGGUAUAAAUGGACUUAUAUCUCAUGAAGAAAUAAUAAGUGUGUAACACAUGUUUGAUAGCCAAACUUAAGGGAUUUAAAUUACGUAUCUUCUUUUCUUUGCCCUAUUCCCUAAUUCGUCAAUCAAUCAAUCGACUUUGAUACACACUUAUUGUCUCUUCAACAUAUUUUUACCAACUUUUUCUUUUAAUCAAUGUUUUUUUUACACCACUCAUCGUAUCUCUCACUUAUCUCUUCUAUUCAAAUAGGUAGAGGUAAAAUUGAGGUGAGUAUGAAUUAUUAUCCAAAUAUAAACAUUAUGUUGGCACUAGAAAAUAUAAAAUAUUCGGCUAAUGGGUCGGUUAAGUGCUGAUGGAUUGGCGACUGAAUAUUUUAUUUAAGUUUUUCAAAUAUAAAUAUAGUUUUAGUUAGCUGAGUCUCAAUGUGCUAAUUGAUCAUAGAGUACUACUAACUAUAUGAACUAAUUUGAAUUUUCUCAACAGUGUAGUUACUUGAAGUUAGCUGAGUCAAAAUGUGCUGAUAAACGGGCUGUUAAUAAACUAAUUUGGACUUUUAAAUUUGGCCACCUGAGACACAAUGUGCUGAUGAAUCGUCCGUUAGUCAAUUUAUUCAAACUUUGUGACUUAGGCAAGUGAUGAUUUGACUGUAAAAUGUAGAGGGUUGUUAGUCUAAUUUCGUUACUUUAGUAAAAAAAACCAAGAAAAAGCAGUGUGAGCCAGAUUAGAUCCUUAACAUUUUUCUUCUAAUUUUCUAUAGGAAAAAAAUGGAGUACUAAUGGAUCAUUAUCUUGUCAACAUAGUUGCUCAUCAUCAUGAAUGUGAUGUGGGAUCUGCGGUCCAUUACCAGCCCAUCAUAUUCAUGUACGUGGGCUUUUCCAUUUGUAUGCUAUGAAGACUAUGAUGUGUGGUCACUACUUGCUACCUGAUAUACAACAUUCUGCUAGGGGUUUUGGCGUGCAUAAUGAUAUCUAGAAGAUCAGAGUACUCAUACAAAAACUAACAGUCAAAGUUGAACAAUAUGCAAGUAGAUGUCAGACUUUAAACUGCAGGAGAGAAGGAUACAUGUUAUAUGAAGAAAGGGGAAAUGGGGAAGGAGAUAUAUAGAAUGUGCAAACAUGAUGAUGUGUUUGUCCAUAAACUCUGAGACAGAGAAACAGUCACUAACUUGUGGUGUGGUAAUUAACCAAAUCCAAAUUAUGACUUCCAUAACCUAAAUCUGAAUUUGAAUUUAAUCCUGACUUCUUUUCCUGCAGCCAUUUUUUAGCCUCCAUAAGUUCAUAACAACAAUACUUAUUCAAAGAGCCAGUCUCGAUGCAACGGUAAGGUUGCUGCCACGGCUUUGCAAGCACAAGUUCGAGCUGUGGAAUCAACAUACAUUAGAUCACAAAGAGGAUCUAACCCCUAACAGGACCUCGCGCAUAACUGGAGCAUUAUAGAUUUAUAGUAACAAGUUUUCCCUUUGUCUUUUUUUUUAACAACAGCACUCAUUAAAGUUUACAUUGUUGUUGGAGGAAGAUUUUGAAGUUAACACAUGCUGUCAAGUCUUGCUACACAUUUAAAAAUUAGCCAAUGGCAAGAAUGCUUUCUGUGA